CCUACGGGAGGCAGCAGUGAGGAAUAUUGGUCAAUGGACGAGAGUCUGAACCAGCCAAGUAGCGUGAAGGAUGACUGCCCUAUGGGUUGUAAAUUUCUUUUAUAUGGGAAUAAAAUGUUACACGUGUGGGAAUUGGUAUGUACUAUACGAAUAAGGAUCGGCUAACUCCGUGCCAGCAGCCGCGGUAAUACGGAGGAUCCGAGCGUUAUCCGGAUUUAUUGGGUGUAAAGGGAGCGUAGGUGGAUUGUUAAGUCAGGUGUGAAAGUUUGGGGCUCAACCGUAAAAUUGCAGUUGAAACUGGCAGUCUUGAGUACAGUAGAGGUAGGCGGAAUUCGUGGUGUAGCGGUGAAAUGCUUAGAUAUCACGAAGAACUCCGAUUGCGAAGGCAGCUCACUGGACUGAAACUGACGCUGAGGCUCGAAAGUGUGGGUAUCAAACAGGAUUAGAUACCCUUGUAGUC
rnacentral:rRNA from 1 species